rnacentral:rRNA from 1 species
AGAGUUUGAUCAUGGCUCAGGACGAACGCUGGCGGCGUGCCUAAUACAUGCAAGUAGAACGCUGAAGAGAGGAGCUUGCUCUUCUUGGAUGAGUUGCGAACGGGUGAGUAACGCGUAGGUAACCUGCCUUGUAGCGGGGGAUAACUAUUGGAAACGAUAGCUAAUACCGCAUAACAAUGGAUGACCCAUGUCAUUUAUUUGAAAGGGGCAAAUGCUCCACUACAAGAUGGACCUGCGUUGUAUUAGCUAGUAGGUGAGGUAACGGCUCACCUAGGCGACGAUACAUAGCCGACCUGAGAGGGUGAUCGGCCACACUGGGACUGAGACACGGCCCAGACUCCUACGGGAGGCAGCAGUAGGGAAUCUUCGGCAAUGGGGGCAACCCUGACCGAGCAACGCCGCGUGAGUGAAGAAGGUUUUCGGAUCGUAAAGCUCUGUUGUAAGUCAAGAACGAGUGUGAGAGUGGAAAGUUCACACUGUGACGGUAGCUUACCAGAAAGGGACGGCUAACUACGUGCCAGCAGCCGCGGUAAUACGUAGGUCCCGAGCGUUGUCCGGAUUUAUUGGGCGUAAAGCGAGCGCAGGCGGUUUGAUAAGUCUGAAGUUAAAGGCUGUGGCUCAACCAUAGUUCGCUUUGGAAACUGUCAAACUUGAGUGCAGAAGGGGAGAGUGGAAUUCCAUGUGUAGCGGUGAAAUGCGUAGAUAUAUGGAGGAACACCGGUGGCGAAAGCGGCUCUCUGGUCUGUAACUGACGCUGAGGCUCGAAAGCGUGGGGAGCGAACAGGAUUAGAUACCCUGGUAGUCCACGCCGUAAACGAUGAGUGCUAGGUGUUGGAUCCUUUCCGGGAUUCAGUGCCGCAGCUAACGCAUUAAGCACUCCGCCUGGGGAGUACGUCCGCAAGGUUGAAACUCAAAGGAAUUGACGGGGGCCCGCACAAGCGGUGGAGCAUGUGGUUUAAUUCGAAGCAACGCGAAGAACCUUACCAGGUCUUGACAUCCCGAUGCUAUUUCUAGAGAUAGAAAGUUACUUCGGUACAUCGGUGACAGGUGGUGCAUGGUUGUCGUCAGCUCGUGUCGUGAGAUGUUGGGUUAAGUCCCGCAACGAGCGCAACCCCUAUUGUUAGUUGCCAUCAUUCAGUUGGGCACUCUAGCGAGACUGCCGGUAAUAAACCGGAGGAAGGUGGGGAUGACGUCAAAUCAUCAUGCCCCUUAUGACCUGGGCUACACACGUGCUACAAUGGUUGGUACAACGAGUUGCGAGUCGGUGACGGCAAGCUAAUCUCUUAAAGCCAAUCUCAGUUCGGAUUGUAGGCUGCAACUCGCCUACAUGAAGUCGGAAUCGCUAGUAAUCGCGGAUCAGCACGCCGCGGUGAAUACGUUCCCGGGCCUUGUACACACCGCCCGUCACACCACGAGAGUUUGUAACACCCGAAGUCGGUGAGGUAACCUUUUGGAGCCAGCCGCCUAAGGUGGGAUAGAUGAUUGGGGUGAAGUCGUAACAAGGUA